UUGCUACUAUUGCAACGCUAAAUGCUUGAAAAGCUAAAAAACUUAUUACUUAUUUACAUCAGAAUUGUUUAUUGCUGCUGCACUUGAACCGGCGACUUCUCAUUAGUUAGUCCGACGCUCAGACACCCAACUUAUACAGACUCUUGUCGUCACGUUUGCAAAGCUCACCUAUAUAACUGACUUGUUUUUGAUGUUUGUCAUAGAAUUCCGAUCCAAAAGAAAGCCUCUGUAAAAAAAUACUACAAUAUCAAACAAAAUAUUUUCUUAUUCAAACUAUAUAAGCAUACGUCACACAUUCAGCUUGCGCCCUGAAGCGAACUUAAAAUACGAACAGUCGCGAAUUGUCAAAGGCUUAAGAAGAGAGUAGGGCAAAUUUGGAAAUAACAAAGGAAGGAUUGAGGUGACGAGUGCUGUGCAAGGAUAAUCGCUAUUGUGGAGCUUGUUUACGUUUAGAUGAAGCCAAUUGUCAGAGAACAAAGCACUCUUAAGAACCAAAAGGAUUAGAGUAGAAACCAUGCCCGAUAGUUAUAUAACAUUUCGAAGGUUUCCAGCUGUCAAUGUGACAUUAUGUGGGUGCUCGACAGGAUAUUUGUUGGCCAUCGCCUGACAUUGAAAGCUUUAAAAUCGCAUAUGCUAAUGAGAGCAACAGCAGCUGAUGGUCUCAGCGGGCGACAGGAUAUAUUGGUUCAAGAAAUUUCUAUGAAAAAACAAGAUCUCAUCAUUUUUUAGUUGUCGAAAAAAUGCCAUAAUAAGGACACGCACGCUCCAAGCCAAAGUGACAGGAUCAGCGCCAGCGACAGCUGCUGGCGACAGCACAUGCCUUUCAACUAAAGCAGGAUACGCAUAUCCUGCGUUUAGCAUUAAAAAUUCGAGAUUUUUUCUAUUAAAAAAUCGUGUGUGCAGACGGCACGCGCUUGACCUUGACAUUGUUCCUAGGCACAGUCCUGGCUGACUCGCACUAAACUGGGACUGUACAUGUGCAGCCAACGCAGCGAACACAGCCGGCGGCUAGCGGAGGAGUCAAGCGUUAAUUGUAAGGACACGAACAGGGAUACGAGCACAUGUACGGGCACAGUCUACCUAGCAGCGUUCUUGCUCGCAUGCUGCUUACAUUUUUUUAUGUUGCUCAUCGCUUUACUUGUUUUUUGUUUAAACAGAAACCAAGGAUUCAUUAUCAUGUUGAGCAGCAUAGACAUAGAGUGCGGGUGCCAGUUGCUAUUCAAUCUGAUAGAUGUCUAGUUUUUAGCUGGUUCGACAUCACUUCGCCUAUAUUUUAUAUUAUACUUUUCUUUUCAAGUAAUCAAGGUCUUCAUUUGUUAUGCAGCUCAGGCUUGGCGGCACAUGCUGGUCAAUUUCAUGUUUUCAUGCACAGACAAAAAAUAAAUCAUUUUUUAAGAAUUUAUUCCCCAACUGCAAUCAUA